AGUUCGAAAAUUCGAAACGCUCCAUGGCCGGAAACCGUGCCGAACUUCUGUUGCCCGGAAAAACGUUGAAUAUUUCCAGCGGAAAAGCUUCGAGUGCAAAGGGUUAAUUCUGGCAACAGCGACGAGCUAGACUGACGCAAGAAAUCGACGCGAAAGAUUGUAUUUCACGUUCUCAUUGUGCUUCGGCCGAGUUGGAACCGGUCGCGAGCCUGUUCGUGACAACUGUAAGCGAUGAAUGUACCGUCGACGUGUCAGCAUCGCAUUCGUAAAGUUAAUUAAUUAAUCGAUAUAACUGGACUGCGGAUUUUUAUGCGUUCACGGGGUAAUUAGAGAUUAAUAACGUUCGACAACAUCCACCUGACACAGAGAAAUAAACGAUAGCAACAUAAAGUAUCAUGCUUUUUAUAAUUCCCAUUACGAACAAUCAUUUUCUAUCGUUAUUCCAUAUUUAUCCGAUAACAUCCGAAGAGAUCCGAAUAAAAUCCCACGGUCCAGAUAUAACCAUACGUACACUAUGACACAGAAUUUAUUAUUCCUCGUAAGCAGCGAACGUACAUAAUUCAAUUUUUCACUUACAAAAUAUCUAUGCGUAUUUAUAUUCGUAUUCGGUCUGUUUUCUGUUUCCGUUCAGUGUAUCCAUUCGUGUGUCGCUUCGUGUCUGUUAAUUAUUAUACAUAAUCGGAUCUCGCUUUCUCUACGGAGGCGGUUUCACCGCGCGUCCAUUUACGAACGGUACGCGCCACUACCUAAUUAAACUCUACUUAGGACCGUCGGUAAACGAACUUCGAAAAGAAUGGCUGUCCCUUGUUGCCCAUAGCCUGACGGACAUACACGGAAAGUAAUAUCUCAUUUUCCGUUCUCGAUUCGGUGUCCCAUAAACCAGUUUCCAUUGUGUGCAGGACCGACCACGCAAACAGGAACGCCUAAGUGAUUCUGUCGUUCCUAGAUGAACGAGCGAACGGUUUAACCCCUUGCCCUAUGGUUUAUUUUUUAACUGCGAUCGAUGCGAUCAUUUUAUCUUGAAGAUUUAUUCGGAAAGAAAGGAUUUCGAUAUUCUAUGUCGUUUACUUAAGUUUCACGAUUGAUAAUAGAAAAGAAAUAUUCAAGUUAACCUUUUUCAGUCGCUGUUCGACCCAUGAAAAUGAUGAAAUUUAGAAUAUUAAAUUUUUAUAUAAUGCAACACAUCGAAAAUAGUUCUGUUAAUUUAUGCAAGGUAUUUCUUCGUAUUAGUUGUAAAACAUAUUGAUAUUUCAGAAAAUAAUGAACGUUGAGAAAAAUAUUCUCGAGUGCAAAGGGUUAACAAAGAAAUAAAUAAUACUAUGUCUGCCCUGAGGUUUAACGAUUGAUAAAAGAAAAGUAAUAUUCAAGUUAUAUUUAAAAGAAAUAAAUAAUACUUAGAUUUUCCAAAUUCAGUUUGAAAUCUUCGUUACGAGUGCGACACGAUAUUGUAGGUCAAGGGGUUAAUCCUUAGUCCUUGCAUCGUUCGGGUUUGUUCGAUGUGAGGAUCGAAUAAUAAGAUAUAUUUUACACAAUGAGAAUGAUUCCUAUAGGUGUU